rnacentral:rRNA from 1 species
UACGUAGGGUGCAAGCGUUGUCCGGAAUUAUUGGGCGUAAAGAGCUCGUAGGCGGUCUGUCGCGUCUGCUGUGAAAACUCAGGGCUUAACUUGGAGACGCCAUUCGAUACUGCGAUGACUUGAGUCCGGUAGGGGAGUGUGGAAUUCCAGGUGUAGCGGUGAAAUGCGUAGAUAUCUGGAGGAAUACCGGUGGCGAAGGCGGCAUCCUGGACCGAGAUUGACGCUGAGGAGCGAAAGCUAGGGGAGCAAACGGG